rnacentral:rRNA from 1 species
AUUGAACGCUGGCGGCAGGCCUAACACAUGCAAGUCGAACGAGCGGCGGACGGGUGAGUAAUGUCUGGGAAACUGCCUGACGGAGGGGGGUAACUACUGGAAAAGGUAGCUAAUACCGCAUACCAUCAGAUGUGCCCACAUGGGAUUAGCUAGUUGGUGGGGUAACGGCUCACCUAGACGACGAGCCCUAGCUGGUCUGAGAGGAUGACCAGCCACACUGGAACUGAGAAACGGUCCAGACUCCUACGGGAGGCAGCAGUGGGGAAUAUUGGACAAUGGGCGAAAGCCUGAUGCAGCCAUGCCGCGUGUGUGAAGAAGGCCUUCGGGUUGUAAAGUACUUUCAGCGGGGAGGCGUUACCCGCAGAAGAAGCACCGGCUAACUCCGUGCCAGCAGCCGCGGUAAUUC